AGUGAACGCUGGCGGUAGGCCUAACACAUGCAAGUCGAACGGCAGCACAGUAAGAGCUUGCUCUUACGGGUGGCGAGUGGCGGACGGGUGAGGAAUACAUCGGAAUCUACUUUUUCGUGGGGGAUAACGUAGGGAAACUUACGCUAAUACCGCAUACGACCUACGGGUGAAAGCAGGGGAUCUUCGGACCUUGCGCGAUUGAAUGAGCCGAUGUCGGAUUAGCUAGUUGGCGGGGUAAAGGCCCACCAAGGCGACGAUCCGUAGCUGGUCUGAGAGGAUGAUCAGCCACACUGGAACUGAGACACGGUCCAGACUCCUACGGGAGGCAGCAGUGGGGAAUAUUGGACAAUGGGCGCAAGCCUGAUCCAGCCAUACCGCGUGGGUGAAGAAGGCCUUAGGGUUGUAAAGCCCUUUUGUUGGGAAAGAAAAGCAGCAGGUUAAUACCCCGCUGUUCUGACGGUACCCAAAGAAUAAGCACCGGCUAACUUCGCG
rnacentral:rRNA from 1 species